AACUGGUCAGGAGCCACUCUCCUGACGAGGCCAUGGCAGGCUGAAACCAAUU
rnacentral:hammerhead_ribozyme from 15 species